rnacentral:rRNA from 1 species
AACGAACGCUGGCUGCAUGCCUAACACAUGCAAGUCGAACGAAGCCUUCGGGCUUAGUGGCGCACGGGUGCGUAACGCGUGGGAAUCUGCCCCUUGCUUCGGAAUAACAGUUAGAAAUGACUGCUAAUACCGGUUGAAUUCUUCGUACCAAAGAUUUAUCGGAACGGGAUGAGCCCGCGUAGGAUUAGGUAGUUGGUUUGGUAAAGGCCUACCAAGCCGACGAUCCUUAGCUGAUCUGAGAGGAUGAUCAGCCACACUGGGACUGAGACACGGCCCAGAGUCCUACGGGAGGGAGCAGUGGGGAAUAUUAAACAAUGGACGCAAAUAUGAGCCAGCAAUGCCAGGUGAGUGAUGAAGGCGUGAGGGAUGUAAAGCUCUUUUAGCAGGGAGGGUAAUAACAGUACCUGGAGAAUAAGCGCCGGCUAACUCCGUG